UACGGAGGGGGCUAGCGUUGUCCGGAAUUACUGGGCGUAAAGCGUGCGCAGGCGGCUUCUCAAGUCAGGGGGUGAAAGCCCAGAGCUCAACUCUGGAACUGCCUUUGAGACUGAGAGGCUUGAGUACGGGAGAGGUGAGUGGAAUUCCCAGUGUAGAGGUGAAAUUCGUAAGAUAUUGGGAAGAACACCGGUGGCGAAGGCGGCUCACUGGCCCGU
rnacentral:rRNA from 1 species